rnacentral:rRNA from 1 species
GACGAACGCUGGCGGCGUGCUUAACACAUGCAAGUCGAGCGGUAAGGCUCCUUCGGGAGUACACGAGCGGCGAACGGGUGAGUAACACGUGAGCAAUCUGCCCUUCUCUUUGGAAUAAGCGUUGGAAACGACGUCUAAUGCCGAAUACGACCUCCUUUCGCAUGAUCGGAGGUGGAAAGCUCCGGCGGAGAAGGAUGAGCUCGCGGCCUAUCAGCUAGUUGGGUGGGUAAUGGCCCACCAAGGCGACGACGGGUAGCCGGCCUGAGAGGGUGACCGGCCACACUGGGACUGAGACACGGCCCAGACUCCUACGGGAGGCAGCAGUGGGGAAUAUUGGACAAUGGGCGAAAGCCUGAUCCAGCAACGCCGCGUGAGGGAUGACGGCCUGG